rnacentral:tRNA from 1 species
UGGGUUGUGACUCAAAGGUAGAGCUGCUGUCUCACAUGCAGGGGGCACUGGGUUCAAUCCUCAGCACCACAU